UUUACGUCGUAGAUGUCUAUGGGCUCUA
rnacentral:sRNA from 1 species